UCUGCUUUGGAGAACAUAACCUUGGGUUCAUCAUUAUUUGCAAAUGACAAUAGCUCCCCAAGGCUUUCACCCUCUGAGGACUUCGCUUUUGGUUUCCAAAAGCUUAACAAUACCAACCUCUUCUUACUUGCUAUCUGGUUUAACAAAAUUCCUGAUAAAACCAUCGUUUGGAGUGCAAAUAGAGAUAAACCAGCCCAACAAGGCUCCAAGCUCCAGAUUACUGCCAACGGCCUUCUACUUACUGAUCCUAGCGACCAACAAAUAUGGAAUGGUGAAAUCAUUCCAACCGCAGCUGUCUCGUACGGUGCUAUGCUGGACACUGGGAACUUCGUUCUUGUUGGUACCAAUUCUGCUGAUUACCUAUGGGAGAGCUUCAAAAAUCCCACAGACACCAUGCUGCCUUCUCAAACACUGGAAUCAGGUACCGUCUUGUUCUCC
rnacentral:misc_RNA from 1 species